AUGAUAAUCCUAACUUUAAAGCUUCAAACUUCAUCAAUCUUCAAGCCAAAACUUGAUGUUACAUUGAUGUCCACUCCACUCCAAAACCUGCAUAAAGUUGUUACAACAUUACACAAAAUAGCCAAAGCAAAAUCUUCAAUAAAAAGUGGUAGAACAGUCUACAAAAUCCCUACUAUUCAUGCAUGUCUAAAACCUGAGAUAAUAAGCCAAAACCAGUCCUCAAAUCAGUCCAAAUGUUGCAUACAAAUAACAAAAAUAGAAUCUACAAUAAAAAGUAGUAAAAAAGUGCACUCAAAUUGUUCAAAUGUUAUCCAUCUCCCCCCCUAA